rnacentral:misc_RNA from 1 species
CAAGACUUUUAACACACAUGCACUGAAGACUAGAAACAAAUAAAAUGUUCCAACAAGAACUUCUAAAUUAAACUCAUCCUUCACAUCUAGCUUUGAAUUAAUUCCAUUUCCCUUUUAGAAAUUUUUAUACAACUUUAAAAGGCAAAAAGGUCUAAUUUUACAAUUGCCGAUAGAAAUGGGUAUGCUUGAAAGAACCCUGAGUUUAAGAGAAAAAGAGGAAGCAGGGAUGCUGGUAUAGUUGGCAGUAGCAAAG